rnacentral:tRNA from 1 species
UUGGGUGUAGCUCAGUGUUAGAGUACUUGCCUAACAUGUGCAAGGCCCUGGGUUCAAUCCCCAGCACCACAA